rnacentral:ncRNA from 1 species
AUAUAAGCUUUGAUGGAGAAAAAAGUAUUUAUUGUAUUAACUUAAGAGAAUCAACGGUUGGUGUAAGUUGGUGUUAAUUUAAAUAUGUAAUUAAUCACUCCGGAGCUUCCAAUUAGAAAGGCUUUUGCCAAGUAAAUGAGGACGUAUACCAACGAUAUAUGGUUAUGGUUCAUGUUAAAUAAAGUUUUUUAUUUAAAGUCGACCUGAAAUUGAGAGGUAAUUAGUAUAUCUAAUUGCAAAUAAGGUGGUACCACGGAGAUCAAUCUUUCGUCCUUAUG